rnacentral:rRNA from 1 species
ACGUAGGGUGCGAGCGUUGUCCGGAAUUAUUGGGCGUAAAGAGCUUGUAGGCGGCUUGUCGCGUCUGUUGUGAAAGCCCGGGGCUUAACCCCGGGUCUGCAGUGGGUACGGGCAGGCUAGAGUGUGGUAGGGGAGACUGGAAUUCCUGGUGUAGCGGUGGAAUGCGCAGAUAUCAGGAGGAACACCGAUGGCGAAGGCAGGUCUCUGGGCCAUUACUGACGCUGAGAAGCGAAAGCGUGGGGAGCGAACAGGAUUAGAUACCCUGGUAGUCCACGCCGUAAACGUUGGGCGCUAGGUGCGGGUCCCAUUCCACGGGGUCCGUGCCGCAGCUAACGCAUUAAGCGCCCCGCCUGGGGAGUACGGCCGCAAGGCUAAAACUCAAAGGAAUUGACGGGGGCCCGCACAAGCGGCGGAGCAUGCGGAUUAAUUCGAUGCAACGCGAAGAACCUUACCAAGGCUUGACAUGCACCGGACGACUGCAGAGAUGUGGUUUCCCUUUGUGGCUGGUGCACAGGUGGUGCAUGGUUGUCGUCAGCUCGUGUCGUGAGAUGUUGGGUUAAGUCCCGCAACGAGCGCAACCCUCGUUC